AGCUUUGUGCAGUGGCAGUAUUGUAGCCAAUGAGGUUUAUCCGAGGCACGAUUAUUGCUAAUUGAAAACUUUUCCCAAUACCCGCCAUGAUGACUUGAAAUAUAGUCGGCAUUGGCAAUUUUUGACAGUCUCUAUGGAUA
ensembl:snRNA U4 U4 spliceosomal RNA